GACGUAGGGUGCGAGCGUUGUCCGGAUUUAUUGGGCGUAAAGAGCUCGUAGGCGGCUCGUCGCGUCUGCCGUGAAAACCCGCAGCUCAACUGCGGGCUUGCGGUUGAUACGGGCGGGCUGGAGUUCGGUAGGGGAGACUGGAAUUCCUGGUGUAGCGGUGAAAUGCGUAGAUAUCGGGAGGAACACCUGCGAUGUAGAUGGCUUACUGGACCGUAACUGACGCUGAGGCACGAAAGCGUGGGUAGCAAACAGG
rnacentral:rRNA from 1 species